CUUUUCUGUUGGGAGUGCAUGGUCCAGCCGGCAUGUUAUUUGUAUUAUUAUUUUUAUGCUGUCAUUGUUCGUUUUCGGGAGCAACAGAGAGCGGGAAGAGGGCGGCUGCCCAUGGGGAGUGCCCUCCAAUCUGACGGUGAAGCUUUGUUUUGUACUAAAUAUGUCGAUAGAUGCGGUGGGUCCAAGUGUGCUUUGCAUGUGUGCGGGAGUGUGUGUGUGUGUGUGUGUGUGGUGUGUGUGCACGUGUGCAUGCACGCCUGUGUGCAUGAGAGGAACUGGCAAUUCUGAGAUCAUCUCCUCAGGCUACACGUGUUCGGUGUUCGUGUGUGGUGUCUUGGCAUGCCGGGGCGUUUUAGAUGGAUGGCACUUGAGCGGGCGGUGGCCUGAGUCCUUUUUGGAAGCCUGUGCCAGAGGAGAGUCUGAAGGACAGCUUGUCAGAGCUUCUGAGAAUGUUUCAGGGAGAACGGUUGGCAUGGAAAGGAAGCUGUAGCUAAAGUGUGAGCUUGUUUGGUUCCCCGAGCUGUGAUUUUGGGGGGUUAGUGUUGUGGGUGGGUGUUGAAAGUGAGAGUUCUUUUUCUCCCCACCUCACAUUGUGUCGCAGGGAGCACGAGUGUAAAAAGCUGUGCUCUCUAAGUCAGAUGCCAAACAAUAGGGUCCCAGUCUGGAAUGCAGCAAGCCCUGCGUGGAAGGUUCUCGGGCGGCACAUACUGGCUGCUUUUCCUCUCUUUGUCUGCCGGCAGUCCUGGACUUAGAGGCAGCUCAGAAACAGCAGCAAAAUCCCCUGAAAACGGGCCUGACACCUAAGGAUAAAUUGCUUUCAGGAGGUCCAGAGAGGAUUUACUACGAAGUAGCCCUAGGAAGAUGGUGAAAAGUCAGACUCUACAGAGGGGCCAACAGGACAUUUAGGUACCAUGGAUGCCGCAGCCUUGGCCUGCCGGAGAGAAGGUGGCCUUAGCCGCCCUCACACAUGGCCUCUGAGCAGCCCAGACAAGCCUCUUUGCCUCCCAGAGAGCUCUCAGAACAGGAUGCUGGCCCCCCAGUCAGAGGGCUGAGCUGGGGCAGUGUCUCUGGUCCUGCCGCCAGCGAUAACCCAGCAGGGCUGACAGGCCACCCUGCCCUGCCAUGUAAUCUGCGUGACACAGCCACUUCGCGGAGGGGAAAGGCUCAGCCCACGCCCCUCGGUUCCCACACAACCAGCAGGUGCAGGACAUGGUGGAGACCCAGUCUGCACAAUCAGAUGAAGGCGGUGACGUUAGCAGAGGAACGACUUGUGCAGCAUUUCUCGGGGUCCUUGGGGGUGUCUCGGGCUGGAGUUGCUGCCUCUGCAGAGCAGGAAGCCGUCUGCAGGGUCCUGUGGGGGUGAGGCAGACGCUGAGAAUAAUAGUCCAGCCAGGCUUUUGCAGGCGAACUGAACCAGACCAGUCUCAGAAGCGCAAGGGGAGGGAAAAGUUCUUUGUGACAAGAGUGAGAUGCCCAGUGAGUCAGAGGCAGAAAGGGGCUGCCUGAGAGGAUGAAACCCAGGGACUGGGUCAUCUAAGGAGCUGUGCCUCAGGACAGGAAGGAGGUACUGCUAGCUUCCUAUUCUACAUGUGGGGAAACUGAGGCACACAAGAACCAAAAUCAUCUGCUCUAGGUUGUAAAAAGCUGGCAGAGUGGUCCAAAAAGGAUUUCAACCCAGGGAGCCUGGCUCCACAAACCACCGGCAUCCCUGCUGUGUUUAGCACAACACACUGGGGCCCGCGUGUGGGGCCGGGGGCACCGGCCAUAAAUACUGAAGGUGGCCAGCAGCCGGGCUGGUCGGGGAAGUUCCUGAGGAGGAGAGAUUCUGAGCUGAACCCCAAAGCAUGACUAGGAUUGCAGGCUGAAGGUUGGCCCUUGGUGGGGAUGAAGGCUUCAUUGGGUGGUGUCAGAAGAGGGGAGGAAGGUGCCGGAGGCUGGCGGAGCACCGAGUGUGAUUACCUCUCCCCCAGGAAAACAGCUCUCUGUCAGCCUAAAAGCAGGGCAGGCGGGGAAGGAGGCCAGGAUGGUGUCUGCCCUGAUGCUUUAAAGACAGCUUUUCCGUGUGUGCACCGGGUUGCUGCUGGCACAGUGCCUUUGCUCUGCCCUGAGAGUUUCCCCUCCCGCGGCAGCAAGCAAGCGCUCUUCCCACGGCCGCAGGGUGCUCCUUCCAAUAACCACCAUGCCCACGGCUGUUGCCAGGUUUGUUUGGAGCAGGGAAGACGAGUCUGGUUGACUCUACUUUGGGGUGGUCCCAGCCAGGAAAGGGGGUCUGAACCAGAGUGACGGAGAGCAAGUACGGAACAGGAUCCUGUCCUAAAGGGGCCAUCGAUGGGACACAGUAGGGACGGGGCAUCAGCCCAGGCAGAGGGUGUGUCCUUGAUCGCCGGUCCCAGGUAGGACCAUAGAAGGUAACCUUAGACCCCUUAACUCGAUACCCACAUGGAUUCUGUGGUUCCCUGAACUUGGCAAAUCUUCCGUUUCUAAGGUUUAGGCAAAACAGAAGUUGGUGGGCUGGGAAGAGCCUGAAGGGGAAGAUGUGGAGAAGAGAUAGAUUACUAAUGGAGCAGGAGAAGACUCAGUGUCUGCCUGCCAGCUGACUGAAUUUGAAAUGGAUAACCAGCUCUUUCAAGGAACACUGAGUUAGAGCAGUGUGAGAAGUCCAGACUCCCUCGGGACGUCCCACAGGCUGUGGCCUUGGUGAUUAGAACAGAAUUUACUUAUCCUUCACCAUAGGCAGUAUUGCCUUAAUAAAGGACGUUGUCAAAGGCUUUUCCUGUUUCUGAAGUUUGUCUUGGCCCAGCGCCAGGAGCUGAAGCUCAGAAAGGACUGUCCAGUGACCUUGAAUGGCCCAUCUUAUCCCAGACAAGACAGAGGCUUGGAAAUUCUGAACCCUAAGGAGCCAGUAAAUAAAAAGAAUAGCAUUAUUCAUGAUAGCCAAAAUAUGGAAACAACCUGAGUGUUAACAGAGGGAUGAGCAGAUAAAGACAUGGUGAUGUGUGUAUAUACAACGGAGUAUUAUUCACCCAUAAGAAAGGAGGCCAUCCUGCCUUUGGCAGCCGUGUGGGUGGACAUGGAGGACAUUAUGCGAAGUGAAAUAAGCCAGACACGGGGGGAAAAAAAAAGAACUGCAUGAUCUCAUGCAUAUGUAGACUCUCAAAAGUCAAAUAUGUAGAAGCAGAGAGUAGAAGGGUGGUUCCCGGGACCGGGGAAGAGAGGAAACGAGGGGAUGUUGGUCCAACGUGCAAAGUUGUGGUUAUGUAGGACGAGUAAGCCCACGGAGCUAAGCUACAGCGUGGGGACUCUAGUUAAUGAUGCUCUACUGAAUCCUGGAAAUGAACAAAGAGAGUAGAUCUCAGGGGCUCUGGAGACAGAUAAAUGAAGUCAUGAUCUAUGUUCAUUAGCUUGAGAGUACUAAUCAUUUCACUAUGUGUAUGUGUAUCAAAUCCUCUCGUACACCCGAAAUAGAAUUUUUUCAGUUUAAAUUCGAGCUCGCAUUGAGUGCAGCACUGGUUUCAGGAACAGAAUCCAGUGAUUUUAUGACCCACACGCAACACCUGGGGUUUAUCCCAAGAGCCCUCCUUAAUGCCCAUCACCCUUAUAGCCCACCCCUCACCCAGCUCCCUUCCAGCCUCCGAUUGUUCUCUACUCUCAGAGCCUCUUAGUGGCUUGCUUCCCUCUCUGUUUUAUCUUAUUUUUUCCCUCCCUUCCCCUCUCUUCAUCUGUUUUGUUUCUUAAAUUCCACAUAUGAGUGAAGUCAUAUGAUAUAUUUCUUUCUCUGACUUACCUCACUUAGCAUAAUACACUCUAGUUCCAUCCGCACUGUUGCAAAUGGCAAGAUUUCUUUUUUUUUUUUAAUCACCAAGUAAUACUCCAUUAUAUAAGGAGCCAAGAGAAAAGCAAAAAGGAACUAUUGGAACCUCAUCAAAAUAAAAAACUAAAGCGCAGUGAAGGAAAUAAUCAACAAAAGUGAAAGGCAACUGAAGGAAUGGGAGAAUGUACUUGCAAACAACAUAUCAGAUAAAGGGUUAGUUUCUGAAAUAUAUAAAGAAAUACAACCAAAUAAUCCAGUUAAGAAAUGGGCAGAAGACAUGAGUGGACACUUUUCCGAAGCAGACAUCCAGAUGGCCAACAGACACAUGAAGAGAUGCUCACCAUCGCUCAUCAGUGAAAUGUAAAUCGGAGCCACAAUGAGAUAUUACAUCACACCUGUCAGAAUACCUAAAAUUAACAAUUCUGGAAACCUAGGUAUUGGUGAGGAUAUGGAGAAAGGGGAACCCUCUUAUACUGUUGGCGGGAAUGAAAACUGGUAUAGCCACUCUGGAAUAGUAUGGAGGUUCCUAAAAAAGCUAAAAAUAGAUCUACCCUGUGAUCCAGCAAAUGCACUGCUAGCUACUUAUCCCAAGGACACAAAAAUGCUGAUUUGAAGGGACCCAUGUACCCCAGUGUUUAUAGCAGCAGUGUCCAUAAGAGCCAAAUUGUGGAAAGAGCCCAAAUGUCCAUUGACUGAUGAAUGGUUAAAAUGCAAUUUUUAUUAAAAAAUUAAA